CCUACGGGGGGCAGCAGUGGGGAAUAUUGGACAAUGGGCGAAAGCCUGAUCCAGCCAUGCCGCGUGUGUGAAGAAGGCCUUCGGGUUGUAAAGCACUUUCAGUGGGGAAGAAAGCCUUGGGGCUAAUACCCUCGAGGAAGGACAUCACCCACAGAAGAAGCACCGGCUAACUCCGUGCCAGCAGCCGCGGUAAUACGGAGGGUGCGAGCGUUAAUCGGAAUUACUGGGCGUAAAGCGCGCGUAGGCGGUCUGAUAAGCCGGUUGUGAAAGCCCCGGGCUCAACCUGGGAACGGCAUCCGGAACUGUCAGACUAGAGUGCAGGAGAGGAAGGUAGAAUUCCCGGUGUAGCGGUGAAAUGCGUAGAGAUCGGGAGGAAUACCAGUGGCGAAGGCGGCCUUCUGGACUGACACUGACGCUGAGGUGCGAAAGCGUGGGUAGCAAACAGGAUUAGAUACCCGGGUAGUC
rnacentral:rRNA from 1 species